AUGUAGGAAGAAGAGAAAAAAGA
rnacentral:sRNA from 1 species